rnacentral:rRNA from 1 species
UACGAGGGGUCCUAGCGUUGUUCGGAAUCACUGGGCGUAAAGCGCAUGUAGGCGGCUUUGUAAGUCAGGUGUGAAAGCCCUGGGCUCAACCCAGGAAGUGCACUUGAUACUGCUAAGCUUGAAUAUGAGAGAGGGUAGUGGAAUUCCAGGUGUAGUGGUGAAAUACGUAGAUAUCUGGAGGAACUCCGGUGGCGAAGGCGGCUACCUGGCUCAAUAUUGACGCUCAGAUGCGAAAGCGUGGGGAUCAAACAGG